GAGUUUGAUCUUGGCUCAGGACGAACGCUGGCGGCGUGCCUAACACAUGCAAGUCGAACGGGGCUGUUCCGGAGCUUGCUUCGGGACAGUUCAGUGGCGGACGGGUGAGUAACGCGUGAGGAACCUGCCUUUCAGAGGGGGAUAACGUCUGGAAACGGACGCUAAUACCGCAUGACAUUCCGGGAUCACAUGGUACUGGAAUCAAAGGAGCAAUCCGCUGGAAGAUGGACUCGCGUCCGAUUAGCCGGUUGGCGGGGCAACGGCCCACCAAAGCAACGAUCGGUAGCCGGACUGAGAGGUUGAACGGCCACAUUGGGACUGAGACACGGCCCAGACUCCUACGGGAGGCAGCAGUGGGGGAUAUUGCACAAUGGAGGAAACUCUGAUGCAGCGACGCCGCGUGAGGGAAGACGGUCUUCGGAUUGUAAACCUUUGUCCCCGGUGACGAUAAUGACGGUAGCCGAGGAGGAAGCUCCGGCUAACUACGUGCCAGCAGCCGCCGUAAU
rnacentral:rRNA from 1 species